CCUACGGGUGGCAGCAGUGGGGAAUAUUGCACAAUGGGGGAAACCCUGAUGCAGCGACGCCGCGUGAGUGAAGAAGUAUUUCGGUAUGUAAAGCUCUAUCAGCAGGGAAGAAAAUGACGGUACCUGACUAAGAAGCCCCGGCUAACUACGUGCCAGCAGCCGCGGUAAUACGGAGGAGGCGAGCGUUAUCCGGAUUUAUUGGGUUUAAAGGGUGCGUAGGCGGACAGUCAAGUCAGCGGUAAAAAUGCGGGGCUCAACCCCGUACAGCCGUUGAAAAUGGCAGUCUUGAGUGGGCGAGGGGUAUGCGGAAUGCGUGGUGUAGCGGUGAAAUGCGUAGAUAUCACGAAGAACUCCGAUGGCGAAGGCAGCAUACCGGCGCCCUACUGACGCUGAGGCACGAAAGCGUGGGUAUCGAACAGGAUUAGAUACCCUAGUAGUC
rnacentral:rRNA from 1 species